ACGGAAGGCAGCAGUGGGGGAUAUUGCACAAUGGGGGAAACCCUGAUGUAGCGACGCCGCGUGAGUGAUGAAGUAUUUCGGUAUGUAAAGCUCUAUCAGCAGGGAAGAAAAUGACGGUACCUGACUAAGAAGCACCGGCUAAAUACGUGCCAGCAGCCGCGGUAAUACGUAUGGUGCAAGCGUUAUCCGGAUUUACUGGGUGUAAAGGGAGCGUAGACGGCAUAGCAAGCCAGAUGUGAAAGGUGGGGGCUCAACCCCCAAGCUGCAUUUGGAACUGUUAAGCUAGAGUAUCGGAGAGGUAAGUGGAAUUCCUAGUGUAGCGGUGAAAUGCGUAGAUAUUAGGAGGAACACCAGUGGCGAAGGCGGCUUACUGGACGAUAACUGACGUUGAGGCUCGAAAGCGUGGGGAGCAAACAGGAUUAGAUACCCUGGUA
rnacentral:rRNA from 1 species